CCUACGGGAGGCUGCAGUGAGGAAUAUUGGUCAAUGGACGCAAGUCUGAACCAGCCAUGCCGCGUGCAGGAAGACGGCUCUAUGAGUUGUAAACUGCUUUUGUACGAGGGUAAACGCAGAUACGCGUAUCUGUCUGAAAGUAUCGUACGAAUAAGGAUCGGCUAACUCCGUGCCAGCAGCCGCGGUAAUACGGAGGAUUCAAGCGUUAUCCGGAUUUAUUGGGUUUAAAGGGUGCGUAGGCGGACGGAUAAGUUAGAGGUGAAAUCCAGAGGCUCAACUUCGGAAUUGCCUUUGAUACUGGUAGGCUAGAGAGUAGUAGCGGUAUGCGGAAUGCGUGGUGUAGCGGUGAAAUGCAUAGAUAUCACGAAGAACUCCGAUUGCGAAGGCAGCACACCGGAGUUCAACUGACGCUCAUGCACGAAAGUGUGGGUAUCGAACAGGAUUAGAUACCCUUGUAGUC
rnacentral:rRNA from 1 species